rnacentral:rRNA from 1 species
AUGAUGACUCUCGGCAACGGAUAUCUCGGCUCUUGCAUCGAUGAAGAACGUAGUGAAAUGCGAUACCUGGUGUGAAUUGCAGAAUCCCGUGAACCAUCGAAUCUUUGAAUGCAAGUUGUGCUCGAGGCCACCCGGCCGAGGGCACGCCUGCCUGGGCAUCAUGC